rnacentral:misc_RNA from 1 species
GAAAUGCGAUAAGUAAUGUGAAUUGCAGAAUUCCGUGAAUCAUCGAAUCUUUGAACGCACAUUGCGCCCCCUGGCAUUCCGGGGGGCACGCCUGUCCGAGCGUCAUUGCGAACCCCUCAAGCCCGGCUUGUGUGAUGGGCGCCCGUCCCCCUCCCCCCUCCCGGGAUGGGGGACGCGCCCCAAAAGGCAGCGGCGGCGCCGAACGUGGCCGAGCGCAUGGGGACUCCAGUCACGCGCUCGCGCCCGCGAUCGGGAACGCCGGCCAGACCAGACCACGUCGACCCCCCACGGUUGACCUCGGAUCAGGCGGGGAUACCCGCUGAACUUAA